AGCUCCGCAAGUGUAUUCCUAUACUGUUGCGUUUAAAUAGCUCGUAGUUGGAUCUGCGUGUUUAGCGCGCGGUGUCAUUUUACAAUGGCUACUGCGACGCGACACUGUACGCCAGUUGACGGCGCCUCGCGGCGCAGUUGCUGGCAAGUUUACUUUGAACAAAUCAGAGUGCUCAAGACGGGCGUUUCGCUCGAAUGUUCUUGCAUGGAAUAAUGGAAUAGGACCUUGCGUUCUAUUUUGUUGGUUUUCGGGACGCGGGUAAUGAUUAAGAGGGACAGACGGGGGCAUUUGUACUGCGACGUGAGAGGUGAAAUUCUUGGAUCGUCGCAAGACAGACUACUGCGAAAGCGUUUGCCAAGAAUGUUUUCA
rnacentral:rRNA from 1 species